GUGCUUGAUUCAGGAGUACAUAAACUAAAAUUGGAAGAUACAGAGAAGAUUGGCAUGGCCCCUGCACAAGGAUGAAACAUAAAUUCAUGAAGUGUUCCAUAUUUUU